GGCAUGAGAGGGUGGGGAGGCAGCCAGCUGCUGCCACUUGGCCCGUAAGGACUGGGCAGUACUUGACACCAGCCAACACCUGCCUAGGGAAUCUGCGAUGCCCAGGAUCCAUUGGGGUUAGGAGUGCUGCCCCUCUGCUUCUCAAAAGUAUGUGUUACUAAAUACAUAUUGAAGACACCAGGAUUCCCAUGGAAGCUAUUGCUUUCAGAUUGUAUUUGGCUCUUAUCUUCUUUAUGAGUCAAGCAGAUAAUGCCGGCAAACUAUUUUCUCCACCAAAUGUCUGUGGCUGCAUCAUAUCAGAGAUUAUCUACUACCAGGCAUCGCUACAUCACUGCGGUCUCAGUAGGAUGUAAAUACCAUGAGAUGCAGUGAGGACAGCUGCAAAAAGUACAUGCAACAAGCGUUGAGAAACAAUGGCUGCUUCUCCUGGGGAGUGGACCAAAUCAUCAGACCUGCAGAAAAAGAGGACCAUGUACUCCCACCAGCUGAGGGAUUUGCAAAGACACUUAUCCUCUGAGUCUUGGUUUGCAAGUGUGCAAAAUGUUUGUCUUGUGGGGUGUUCUGAAAAUUAAACCUAUUUCCACGCACUGUGAGAUCUUGGGAAGGAAGAUGCUGGAGAAAUGCAAGGUAUGAAUUACACCUAAGAGCAGAUCAUCCAAAGUUACCUUGGAAUUACUGAGUAGUGGGGGAUAUUAGCCACACAAUUUCAUUAAGAACCAUGGGUGUGACUCUGGCGUGUGAAAUGAUGUAGUGAAAGCUUGCACGGUCCUGCAUGGCAUGAGAAAUAAAU